CUUGAAACACGGACCAAGGAGUUUAUCGUGUACGCAAGUCAUUGGGUUAGCUAAACCCAAAGGCGAAAUGAAAGUAAAUAGUGUUUAAUUUUUUAUUUUACACUUAAGGGAAGAUAAAAACUGUUUGUAGAUUUUAAAUUUUUUUUUUUAUAGAAAAAAAUUUAGUUUACAUGAUGGUUUUUCGCACUCCCAGGGCGCUUGUGUUCUCGCUUUGCGAGUCGAUGCGCACCUAGAGCGUACACGCUGAUACCCGAAAGAUGGUGAACUAUGCCUGGCCAGGACGAAGCCAGGGGAAACCCUGGUGGAGGUCCGCAGCGAUUCUGACGUGCAAAUCGAUCGUCGGAGCUGGGUAUAGGGGCGAAAGACCAAUCGAACCAUCUAGUAGCUGGUUCCCUCUGAAGUUUCCCUCAGGAUAGCUUGCGCUCGGAUAAGAGAAGAGUCUCAUCCGGUAGAGCGAAUGAUUAGAGGCAUUGGGGUCGAAACGACCUCAACCUAUUCUCAAACUCCAAAUAGAUGAGAACCCCGGCUUUCUUAAAACUGAAGCCGUGGGACUCGGAUCAGAGUGCCAAGUGGGCCAAUUUUGGUAAGCAGAACUGGCGCU
rnacentral:rRNA from 1 species